rnacentral:rRNA from 1 species
GACGAACGCUGGCGGCGUGCUUAACACAUGCAAGUCGAACGGUAAGGCCUUUCGGGGUACACGAGUGGCGAACGGGUGAGUAACACGUGGGUGAUCUGCCCUGCACUUCGGGAUAAGCCCGGGAAACUGGGUCUAAUACCUGAUAGGACUGCGCGGUGCAUGCCGUGUGGUGGAAAGAUUUAUCGGUGCAGGAUGGGCCCGCGGCCUAUCAGCUUGUUGGUGGGGUAAUGGCCUACCAAGGCGACGACGGGUAGCCGGCCUGAGAGGGCGACCGGCCACACUGGGACUGAGACACGGCCCAGACUCCUACGGGAGGCAGCAGUGGGGAAUAUUGCACAAUGGGCGCAAGCCUGAUGCAGCGACGCCGCGUGAGGGAUGACGGCCUUCGGGUUGUAAACCUCUUUCAGCAGGGACGAAGCGUGAGUGACGGUACCUGCAGAAGAAGCACCGGCCAACUACGUG